UACGUAGGGUGCAAGCGUUAAUCGGAAUUACUGGGCGUAAAGCGUGCGCAGGCGGUUUUGUAAGUCUGUCGUGAAAUCCCCGGGCUCAACCUGGGAAUUGCGAUGGAGACUGCAAGGCUAGAAUCUGGCAGAGGGGGGUAGAAUUCCACGUGUAGCAGUGAAAUGCGUAGAGAUGUGGAGGAACACCGAUGGCGAAGGCAGCCCCCUGGGUCAAGAUUGACGCUCAUGCACGAAAGCGUGGGGAGCAACAGGAUUAGAGUACCC
rnacentral:rRNA from 1 species